GGUCUCGUAGCUCAAUGGUUAGAGCAUCGGUCUUAUAUGCCGCAGGUUGAGAGGGUUCAACCCCCUCCGAGACCA
rnacentral:tRNA from 1 species